rnacentral:rRNA from 1 species
UACGUAGGUGGCCAGCGUUGUCCGGAUUUACUGGGCGUAAAGAGCGCGCAGGCGGUCGUUCAAGUCGAGUGUGAAAGCCCCCGGCUCAACUGGGGAGGGUCACUCGAUACUGAUCGACUUGAAGGCAGGAGAGGGAAGCGGAAUUCCGGGUGGAGUGGUGAAAUGCGUAGAGAUCCGGAGGAACACCAGAGGCGAAGGCGGCCUGCUGGGCUGCACCUGACGCUGAGCCGCGAAAGCCAGGGGAGCGAACGGG